UCCAUGAUAGCUUAGUGGUCAAGAACCUGCCUGCCAAUGCAGGAGACACAGGUUCAAUCCCUGGUCUGGGAA
rnacentral:tRNA from 1 species